rnacentral:rRNA from 1 species
GGGGGACCUUCGGGCCUCUCGCGUCAGGAUAUGCCUAGGUGGGAUUAGCUAGUUGGUGAGGUAAGGGCUCACCAAGGCGACGAUCCCUAGCUGGUCUGAGAGGAUGAUCAGCCACACUGGAACUGAGACACGGUCCAGACUCCUACGGGAGGCAGCAGUGGGGAAUAUUGCACAAUGGGCGCAAGCCUGAUGCAGCCAUGCCGCGUGUGUGAAGAAGGCCUUCGGGUUGUAAAGCACUUUCAGUCGUGAGGAAGGUGGUAGUGUUAAUAGCACUAUCAUUUGACGUUAGCGACAGAAGAAGCACCGGCUAACUCCGUG